GCUUGCUGGGGGGAUUAGUGGCGAACGGGUGAGUAACACGUGAGUAACCUGCCCUUGACUCUGGGAUAAGCCUGGGAAACUGGGUCUAAUACCGGAUAUGACUCCUCAUCGCAUGGUGGGGGGUGGAAAGCUUUUGUGGUUUUGGAUGGACUCGCGGCCUAUCAGCUUGUUGGUGGGGUAAUGGCCUACCAAGGCGACGACGGGUAGCCGGCCUGAGAGGGUGACCGGCCACACUGGGACUGAGACACGGCCCAGACUCCUACGGGAGGCAGCAGUGGGGAAUAUUGCACAAUGGGCGAAAGCCUGAUGCAGCGACGCCGCGUGAGGGAUGACGGCCUUCGGGUUGUAAACCUCUUUCAGUAGGGAAGAAGCCGCGAGGUGACGGUACCUGCAGAAGAAGCGCCGGCUAACUACGUGCCAGCAGCCGCGGUAAUACGUAGGGCGCAAGCGUUAUCCGGAAUUAUUGGGCGUAAAGAGCUCGUAGGCGGUUUGUCGCGUCUGCUGUGAAAGACCGGGGCUCAACUCCGGUUCUGCAGUGGGUACGGGCAGACUAGAGUGCAGUAGGGGAGACUGGAAUUCCUGGUGUACGGUGAAAUGCCA
rnacentral:rRNA from 1 species